AUCACACUACCUUGUUUCUUACGACCCGCCCUUCUCUGCUUCUGAUUGAGUGAAACUUUGGAUGUAAAGGAGGAUGUUUCUCAUAAACUGAGCUCUGCAUUGCUGCGAGCCGAUUCUUAGAGCUGCAGCAGCCUGAGGCGGACAUCAGUAUACCGAGGAAUGACUGAGUAAACAAAAGGAUGCUAUUGAUUUGCCAUGCACACACUCAUCUUGUGACAACCAUGCAUAAGUAGCUUUAAUGUCAAGAACAGGCAUGACUGGAGCUUUGAUCACAGAUCUCACCACUCUCUCCAUCCUAAACCAGACUUCACGUCAGGUUACUGUACACACUCCUGAGUGCUUCAUUGGAGAUAUUGCAUCUAUAUCAGGAAAUCAGAAAAAGUUGAUUUUUUAAUUUGUGGUUCACAAGUAAAAACAUUGUUAGCUCAGUUGAACAGAGGGGGCGGUGCCAGUUUGCAGACUCCCAAUGAUGUCAGAGGUGAGAAGAAACUUUAUGGUAAUUCAGGUCUGAGGCUUUCUUAAAGAGACUGACGAGACGUUUGCUAAGUCUGUCUGGGAGUUGUGUUGGGGUUCAGGACUGCUGGGUGUGGAUCAGGGUUCAGAGAGAAGAGACACACAACCAAAUCCAGGAUGACGACUCUGAACCUGGUGCUGCUGGUGUUGGCAUUUAUAUCUGCCACUGCGACAAAGCCGAGAAGUAAGUUCACAAGUUACCGCUCAUGGAACUCAAAAAUGUAUCCGGUGUGGAGAGAUGGAGACUGGAGAUUCAGGAACUCUUGGCUUGGUGGUGAAGUAACUUUCGAUCUCAAAAAUGAUGCACCCACUCUGACUGGAGCAAGAGUGACCUUCUCUAUUAAUCUUAAUUU